rnacentral:lncRNA from 1 species
CCCCUCUCUGCUUCUAGACCGUCCCUCCUUCAUUAAGGAUAAUUUUGAUCAAUAUUUGAUAUAAAAACUAAAACACACUAGGCACUACUAUUUAGUUUCAAGUGUGUAUUUGAGGGGAGAGUUUGGUUUAACUGAGGACCCUGAACUGCAGUGUACAACCCUGCAGAGAAAUGUUCAAGUGACUGCACAUGUUACUCUAGCAGCUGCUAGUAGCUCUGUGUCUCAUCAUCAUUCAUCUCGGCUGUGGGACUGGGCUCAAGAGAGAGAAUCAAUGUGCACCAAAAGACACAAAUGGAGGAAUGAGUCUGCCACUACCAAAGACAGUGGAUGGGGAUUGGGGAUAGAGGACUAUCACUCCCCCCUUCUCCCAGAAAUCAAUCCACGCCCAUCAACUGGGGUCAGGUCGUUGUGCAAGCAUCUGCUAUCUUCGUCUGUCCAAGACAGCACUAACGCCCUCCUGCUUCUAAUCUUUUUUGAUGAAAUCCUACUCGGAAUCUCAGGUAACUGUUGAAAUAGUUCAUGGCGUUGACAUUUAAUUUUAACAGAAAUC